rnacentral:rRNA from 1 species
CCUACGGGCGGCAGCAGUCGAGAAUCAUUCACAAUGGGGGAAACCCUGAUGGUGCGACGCCGCGUGGGGGAAUGAAGGUCUUCGGAUUGUAAACCCCUGUCAUGUGGGAGCAAAUUAAAAAGAUAGUACCACAAGAGGAAGCGACGGCUAACUCUGUGCCAGCAGCCGCGGUAAUACAGAGGGCUCAAGCGUUGUUCGGAAUCACUGGGCGUAAGGCGUGCGUAGGCGGUUUCGUAAGUCGUGAGUGAAAGGCGCGGGCUCAACCCGCGGACGGCACAUGAUCCUGCGAGACUAGAGUAAUGGAGGGGGAACCGGAAUUCUCGGGGUAGCAGUGAAAUGCGUAGAUAUCGAGAGGAACACUCGUGGCGAAGGCGGGUUCCUGGACAUUAACUGACGCUGAGGCACGAAGGCCAGGGGAGCGAAAGGGAUUAGAUACCCGAGUAGUC